rfam:Bacillus sporothermodurans strain B4102 NODE_12, whole genome shotgun sequence.
AAAAUAAAUACAUUUGUACCGUAGACAGUAGGUGCUAUUAAUAGCUUAAUUUCCUACCGAGGUAAUGCGAUAUAUAUUAUAGUUUAAAAGCUAUAUGCAUUAAACCUCCAUGUCUACUUAGAGAUAUGGAGGUUUUCAUAUUUCGGU